CUUAAUAAGGCAAGGGGAAAUUAUUUCCCACCACGGUGUUUUAUUUUUAAAGUAACAUAUUAUCGACAAAUUAUUUGCAGUGAACGAAUGAAAGAGACCACAAAUUUUUUGGACUUUUUUUUUUCUUUUCCUGGCAACACUUUUUGCUUCAUGGCAACCCUUGACUUUUUUUUAAAUGUCAAAGUGUCAGUGGCAAAAUUUCGAGUAAACGAGCGUUGAUUUUUGUGACGAUCCGAAGAAAAAACGAGUUUUUGUUCUACAAAAAAUCCUGAUUGUCAAUCAUGAGUAAGAGAAGAAGUGUAAUGAAAACGCAGAGAGAUAUAGAAGAAGUGUUAGAAAAUCUGUCAGAUUUGUCGGAUAUAGACUCUGACGAUGAUGCAUAUUAUAUAACAGCCCCUUUGAGCAGCCCGGCGGAUGUGUUGGAUGGACGUCAAGAUCAAGAUGCUGUUAUUGAAAAGCGUCUAGAAGCUCUAUUUGGUACUACUGAUACACUUCAGCAAACGAUCGAAGAUCUAGAACAAUAUUCGAUAUAUAAGCGAAAUAAAACACUAUUAUAAGUAAUUCUAAAUUGUUUUAAUCUUCUAGUUUACAAAUUUAUUUCAGGGGUCUACAUAAAAUAAGGCAAAACAGAAAAUUUUAUAUAAGUAACAAUAUGACAAGACUCUUUUUUUAGUUUACUUAUUUUUUUUAUAAUUUUACAAAAAAUACAAACCAAGCCACGGGCUAGUGCUUGUAUAUGGAAAUAAU